rnacentral:tRNA from 1 species
GUGGGUGUAGCUCAAGUGGCAGAGCUCAUGCUUAGCAUGCAGGAGGUCCUGGGUUUAAUCCCCAGUACCUCCU